rnacentral:tRNA from 1 species
GGAAGUGUGGCUCAAGGGGUAGAGUGCUAGCCUAGCAAGCGAGAAGCCCUGAGUUCAAAUUCCAGUACCACCA